rnacentral:rRNA from 1 species
GACGAACGCUGGCGGCGUGCUUAACACAUGCAAGUCGAACGAAGUGGCGAACGGGUGAGUAACGCGUAAUCAACCUGCCCUUCUGAGGGGGAUAACAGUUGGAAACGACUGCUAAUACCGCAUACUGAAGGAGGAGAUGGCGUCUGAUUGGCUAGUUGGAGGGGUAACGGCCCACCAAGGCGAUGAGCAGUAGCCGGUCUGGAGGGGUGGAGCGCCCAAUUGGGGAUGAGGCACGGCCCAGACUCCUACGGGAGGCAGCAAGGGGGGAAUGUCCGCAAUGGGCGGAAGGCUGACGGGGCAAAGCCGGCGGAGGUAAGACGGGUUUCGGGUUGUAAAGCCUUUGUUGUCGGGGCGCGGUACCGGAAUAGAAAGCCACGGCUAACUACGUGCCAGCAGCCGCGGUAAUUC